AUGGCCUCCAGGACUAUGCCUGUGCAUACCUGGAUGACAUCGCGAUCUACAGCGAUACCUGUGAGGAACAUUUGCUCCACCUGGGUGUAGUGCUUGAUCG